rnacentral:lncRNA from 1 species
AAUGAAAGAUAAGAAUGAGACCACAGUGAGUGAGUCUCUAUUUCUGAGCCUCACAAAUCGUCUCUAUCAGAAGAGUAUACUUUUCAUCCUGUUUCUCUUUGUUUAUCUUGUGACACUGGGGGGGGGCAACUUGGGUAUGGUCACUCUAAUAUGGGUGGACCCCAGACUUCAUACUCCUAUGUACUUUUUUCUUAGCCAUUUGUCUUUUGUAGAUAUGUGUUCCUCUUCUUCCAUAGCUCCUAGGAUGGUGUAUGAUAUAUUUACAGAGGAAAAAAUAAAACAUUUCUUUUUGGGUUGUACUGUACAGUUAUGGUUUGCUGGUCUUUUUGUGGGAACUGGGUGUUUCCUCCUAGCUAACAUGGCUUAUGAAUGGUAUACAGCCAUCUGUAAACCCUUACUGUAUACUCUAAUUGUGUCCAAAAGUGUCUGUACACAGUUUGUCAUUGGGCCUUAUCUUCUGGCUGCUAUAAACAUCACAACUCAUGAAACCUUGACCUUUUGCUUACCAUUUUGUGGUCCCAAUACUAUCAACAUUUCUUCUGUGAUAUUUCCCCAAUGCUUGUCUUACCAUGUGCUGACUCCUCCAUCAACGAGAUAGUGAUUUUUGUCUUGGAUGGAACAAUAGGAAUGCUUAGUGAUCUGAUCAUCACAGUCUCCUACAUCUCUAUUUGAUGGCCAUCUUGAAGAUCCAGACCACUGAUGAGAGGAUGAAAGACUUCUCUUCUUGUUCCUCUCACUUGGCAGGUGUCUCUAUCCAGUAUGGAACUGUGUUCUUCAUCUAUGUUCAACCUAGUACAUAUACUUCACUGAACACGAAUAAAGUUAUUUCUCUAUUUUAUACUGUCAUGAUUUCCAUGCUGAAUCCCCUGAUCUAUAGCUUGAGGAACAAGGAAAUGAAAAAUGCACUCAGAAGAAAAGUACAAAGGAAACA